rnacentral:ncRNA from 1 species
UCUUAUCAAGAGAGGUUGAGGGAAUGGCCCUGCGACGCCUCAGCAACCUUCAAUGGAUUCUUCAUUGAAAAGGUGCUAAGUCCUGCAAAUGAUUUGCUCAUUUGCAAGAUAAGA